GCCAUGGUAGCUCUUUGUCCUCCCGAUUGAGUCGCAGUGGCGUACUGGUCCUUUUAGCACUGGCGGAGAGUAGAUUUAGUAAGUGCUGCUCCCCAGAGAUCUUAAGGCCACGUGAUUUGGUGUGGACCUGGGAGUUUGGGGUGCAGAGGCUAGGUGGGCCCUGUGCCCUGCGAUGUGCGUUUGUUAGGGUGAAGGGGCAACCCACUGUGCUGAUUUAGGAAUCGGGAGAGACGAUGGAGGGGGUGGGACUGGGAGUUUGAAAAUGGAGUUCUGUGGGGUUGGUGAGGUCUUUGUAAUAAUCCAUUUAUCAUAACCAUGAGGAAGGCAGUGGAUUUGCAUGAGGGCACUGGUUCCUUCUUUCCCUUUUGCUGAAAUGACAGAUCAGCAUCCUUCCGAAAGCCCCCUGAGCCCUUAUUUCUGGGUUCUUCCUUUUUGUAACUGCAGACCUGGUCUUGCCAGAUUGGUGGCCCGGUGACUGUCAUCGUCCUGUUUCCUCUAGUGUCUGAGGCUUGGAGAAUAAGUGGUGUGUGGGUUCUGGGGCUGGGUGUGGGCUCUGGGGCUCUGUUGGAGAGCAUUUAAAUCAGCCCAGCCCUUUGAGUCCUCUGCUUACCCCCCUCCCUCGCCUCAGUCUACUUGGAUUUGUCUGUUGUCCUCAAAGAGAAGGUGGCUUGGGGGGUUAGUUGUUGGUGACCUGCCUGUGAUGGUGUGGUAGCGGGGAGAAAGGGCACGGCACCACCUGGCCUGGUUCUUCACCGCUCACCCUCCAUUUCCUCAGUCAUGUGGGGGCGACAGUGAGGACAGCCACCUCAGUGGUUGCUGGCAGGACCCUCUGCGCACUUGUAGUUAAUAUUCUCCCAGCCUGAUGGAGCAGUCCUUCGCUCCUAUUAAUGGUCGCUUGCUAAGAAGUCUCCUGGAUGGGAGGGCUGCCCCCGGGGGAGGAGGGGGAGGGGGAGGGUUGUUGUUGUUGUGAGUGCGCUGUGUUCUGCCUCCUUGUGGGCAGUGGCUGUGCAGGCCCCCACCUCCUGUAUGAUGUGUCUGGUUUGAGGUCUGCGCUCCGCAGCUCUGCUGGUUUCUCUGGACAGGCACGGCCACAGUUGUCAUCUCCUUCUUCACCUUUCUGUCUGCUUUUCAGCUCUUUGGGCACAGACUAGACAUGUGCUUCAUAGGAGUUCCCCUCGUGGCUCAGUGAGUUAAGAACCCAACAUAGUGUCUGAGAUUAUGUGGGUUUGACCCCUGGCCUUGCUCAGUGGGCUAAGGCCACAAGCUGCUGUGUAGGUUGCAGAUAUGGCUUGAAUCUGAUGUUGCCAUGACUGUGGUGUAGGCCAGCAGCUGCAGCUCUGAUGUGACCCCCAACCUGGGAACUUCCAUAUGCUGUAGGUGUGGCUGUAAAAAGAAAAACAAUUAUUUACAGGAACAUUGGCCCAAGCAUGAAGUUACUUGUAAUGGGACAUUGGUGGUUGCAUGGGUUAUCAUAGCAUACAGUUGGAAAUGGUUUACAUGUCUGCCCGUGGUGCACGGGUAAAUAAAAUGCAGCACAACUACACAGCGAAAUACUAGGUAGGCAUUAAAAAGAGUCUCAGAUUGGGAUGUGUUUUCUUGAAAAAAUGACCAUCGUGUAUUAAUAAAAGAAAGCAGGUUCCCAGGCUAGGGGUCCAAUUGGAGCUACAGCUGCCAGCCUACACCACAGCCACAGCAACGCCAGAUCCAAGCUGCGUCUGUGAUCUACACCACGGCUCACAGCAACGCUGGAUCCUUAACCCAUAGUGCAAGGCCAGGGCUUGAACCUGCAGCCUCACGGGUACUAGUCAGAUUCGUGUCCAUGGAUCCCCGAUGGGAACUCCUGGACCCUGUGUUAAGAGCAGAGUUCCUCACCUGAUGCAGUGUCCACUCCAACCCCACCCCUCUCCAGGCCAGACUUGCCUGCCCAUUCCCACCGCCCCGGGAGUAUGGCCAGGGCCUGGGAGCUGUGUGGGUGUUUGAUUCUGGGCCCCAGGGCUUCUUGGCCAGCAUGGACCUCAGUCGCUAUAGCAAGUGUUUCUCUGUCCACUGACUGCCCACACUUCCAGAGCAGAUCUGGCUGUCAAACUGACCUGGGUUCAAGUUCAGGUUUUGCAGUACCCUAACUUGAAGAUGGUGGCCUUUUGCCAGUCACUUAACUUCACUGAGCCUUGGUGUCUUGUCUGUAAUGAGGGUGCAAAUACCUUUCUCUUAGUGGUUUAUCUAUUGUAUGUCUUGUUUCAAAGAACCUUUUUUUUUUUUUUUUUUUGUCUUUUUGCUAUUUCUUGGGCCGCUCCCGUGGCAUAUGGAGGUUCCCAGGCUAGGGGUCCAAUCGGAGCGGCAGCCACUGGCCUACGCCAGAGCCACAGCAACGUGGGAUCCGAGCCGCGUCUGCAACCUACACCACAGCUCAUGGCAAUGCCGGAUCGUUAACCCACUGAGCAAGGGCAGGGAUCGAACCCGCAACCUCAUGGUUCCUAGUCGGAUUCGUUAACCACUGCGCCACGACGGGAACUCCCAAAGAACCAUUUUAAAAUUCAAAAGUAAAAAAAUAAAAUUCAGCUUUACUCAAGUGUAUUCCUUAAAUUUCUUUUGGCUUUUUCUUCAUUAAUUGUUUCUGUUUUCCUUCACAUUCAGUUGUGUCUUUUUCCUGAUUUCUUGUAUCAAAUGCUUAACUUAAUUUCUUCCUUUUCUGUUAGGAAUCUUAAGGUUUUAGAUGAUUAAAUUUCCUCUAAGUACAGAUUUGUCUUUGUUUAAAAAGCUUGAUGUGUAAUGUUCCUUUCUCCAUCUGUGCUAUUUUCUAGGUAUUCAAUAGCUGUGGUGUUUUUUUUUUUUUUUUUGCCUUUUCUGCGGUGACUCCCGCAGCAUUUGGAGAUUCCCAGGCUAGGGGUUGAAUCAGAGCUGUAGCCGCCGGCCUACACCAGAGCCACAGCAACGAGGGAGCCGAGCCAUGUCUGCAACCUACACCUCAGCUCACGGCAACGCCGGAUCCUUAACCCACUGAGCAAGGCCAGGGAUUGAACCCGCAACCUCAUGGUUCCUAGUCGGAUUCGUUAACCACUGCGCCACAACGGGAACUCCAAGGAGGGAAUUUUAAGUUUUCCAACUGACAGUGUUAUUUAUUUUUGCUUUUUAGGGCCACACCUGCAGCAUAUGAAAGUUCCCAGGCUAGGGGUGAAAUCCAAGCUGCAGCUGCCUGCCAGUCUGCACCAUAGCCACAGCAAUAUGGGAUGGAUCUCUGUGGCCUACACCACAGCUCACAGCAACGCCGGAUCCUUAACCCGCUGAGUGAGGCCAGGGAUCGAACCUGUAUCCUCAUGGAUGCUAGUCAGAUUGGUUUCCACUGAGCCACUAUGGGAACUCUGGAUUAUUUUUACUUCUGCUCUUAUUAUAUCUUGUUUUAUUGUACAGAGACAUUUGCUUUUCAGAAUUUGGGGUUUUCCUUAACGUCCCACGUGUAGUUUUGUUGUUUUUUUUUUUUUUUUUUUUUUUUUGAGGGGCACACUUGCCACAUAUGGAAGUUCCCAGGCUAGGGGUCAAAUUGGAGCUGUAGUCAGUGGCCUGCACCACAGCCACACCAGAUCCAAGCCUCAUCUGAGACCUACACCACAGCUCACAGCAAUGCCAGAUCCUUAACCCAUGAGUGAGGCCGGGGAUAGAACCUGCGUCUUCACGGAUGCUCGUCAGAUUCCUUUCCACUCUGCUGUGCUGUGACAGAACUCCCUGUUGCCACCUUUUGACCAUAUUUGCUGAUCUACCUUGGUCAGGUCAGCUCUUACUGUUUCUGUUUUGAAUGGGCCUUGGUCUACCAAGGUGUAGGGAUUUCUGUAUUUUCCAGCGUCUCCCUCUUGGGAUUUUUUUUCCUUUGAAAGUUGCUCUGCGGUAGAGGUUUUGCUCCUCCCUUAUGCUUCCAUGGCGGAUGGUUGUCCUCACCGAGGCAAAAUGACUCUCCUGUUCCUUUCUUUCUCUCUUGUGUCUGGCGUCUCUCAUGCAGUGUUCCACAUUGGUGAGUUUAUUCCUUCUCGCUGCUGCUGCUUUGUUUCAUUGAGGUGUAAUUGACAAGGUGAACAGGACAAUGAUUUGACUGAGAUACGUUAUGAGAUGAGGCCCACAGUAACAUUUAGUGAGCAUCCAUCCUCUCGCAGAGAUAGAAAAUUAAAGGCGUAGAAACACAUGGUUUUUCCUCGUGGUGAGGUUUACACCUUAAUGACCUUCGCAUGUAACAUACAGUAGUGUUAAUUAUAUUUACAUGUUGUACAUUGUAUCCCUGGUUCUUCAGGUUCUUGUAUCUGGAAGUUUGUACCUUUUGGCGGCCUUCAUCCAGUUCCCCUCCCCACCUCUGCCUCCGAUAACCACAGGUCUGAUCUUUUGUCUCUGAGUUUGUUUUGAAGUAUCGCUGACCUGCAGCUCUGUAUUGGUACCUGGUACCCCGUACAGUGAUUCAGUAUUUCUCUGCAUUUCAGAAUCAUCACCACGACAAGCCUAGUUACCAUCUGUCUGUUCCUUCUAGUUGUGAAAUAGUAUUCUGUUAUGUGAGUGUAAUAUUUAUUCGUUCUAGCUGUGAUAGAUUUUACUUAGCUCGGUUCCAUUUAGAGCUGUGGUGAAGAGUGCUGCCAUUGCUGUGCUCACGCGUCCUUCGGUGUGUCUUGGUAUGCGUUCUCUUGCGUUCCUACCUAGGAAUGGAAUUGCUAGGUCCCAGGGGACGCAUAGGUUCGGCUUUAGUAGGCAGCUGCCACUUUUCCAGAGAGUGUACCAAUUGGCACACCCACCAGUAGUGCACAAGUGUCGUCCUUCCUUCCCACACUCACCAGCCCUUGGUGUAAAGAUGUCUCCUCUCACCAGAUUGAUCUCUAGAUGCUGCGCGAUUCCAACCAGAAUCCCAGCAGACUUUUCUUUUGCUGUUGGUUAUUUGGAAAUUUGACAAACCGAUUAUGAAACUUAUGUGAAAAUGCGAAAAAGGACCAAGACUAAGCAACGCUGGAAGGGCUCAGCUGACUAGAUGUCAAGGCUUUAUAAAAGCCACAGUAAGGAAGGCAGCACAGUGUUGGUGAAAGGCUAGACAAAUGGACCGAUGGAACUGUGAUCUUGAAACAGGCUGCAUGGAAGCAGUCACUUAAUGUAUGACAAAGGUGCCACAUGACAGAUGGAAAAAAUGGCCUUUUCAAAAAAAGGUCCUGGGAAGGUUGGAUUCUCCAUGUAGAGGAGGUGGGGGGAGAAUCUUCUGCCUGUAAUCCUGUCUAGAAUCAGUUUUAGGUAGAUUAUAGAGCUAAACGUGAAAGAGAAAACAGAGCUUCUGGAGUAAACAGGAGAAUAUCUUUACCGUCUUGGAGAAGACAGUUCUUUAAAUAGGAUACAGAAAGUGCUACCAAAAUAGAGAAGAUUGGUACAUUGAACUGCCUUAAGCCUUCUCUCUUCUACUUUCUACAAAUGCUCCAAUGAAAUGCAGCAAACACUGUUUUGUAAUUGCCCAGAUCGUUAGAUAAUCCGUCAGUCCCCUGCUCUCCACGGAUGGACGGCUCCUCUGCUGCCUUCAGUGCAGCUGCCUGGGGCUUUCUUUGGCUGUCACUCAGGGUCUUGUUCCUCUAUGUUGGAUCCCCUGUUUCUUGGGUCCGUGGGUGGUGUGAACAUCAAAUAACAGCGACUCUCUUAAGCUGCCUUGGAGCAAUAAGGUCACUGGCUCAAGUUAAGUAGAAUUCCAGCAGUUCCCCUUUGGUUGGUCCAGAUACCUUUCUUGUCUGGGUGGGUCUCUGGCCAGGGGGAUGGAGUUCUCUUAGAUGGAGCUGGGUGUGGGUCAGCUUCCCAGGCGCAGGCUUCUUGGGAAGGGACAAGGUCACGUCCUCCAGGAAAGAAGAAGAGAGAGUUGACUUCCAGGAGGUCAGUCCACCGUGGCCACUGCAACAUUUGCCCGUGUCUUGGUUUGCUUUCUUACUCGUUAGAGCAUCUUUCCCUGUAACUUUCUGAGAAGGUAGAAUGUUUUGAGUCCUUUUGCGAGUCUAAAAAAGUUUUUUUCUAUCUUCACACUUGCCUCUGUCAGCAGAUUCUAGAUUUUAGACUGAAAAUUGUUUUCGGGGGAAGGGAAUGAUGCUGGUAAGCGUAGCGCAGUUGCUCCCAGACUCAUUGCCCCUCCCUCCUUUAUUCCUCCCUGGGGCCUUUUUUGGGGGCGAUGAUUGGCUUUCGGUAGCUUUGGGUCCUUGUCUUUAUCCCCAGUGUCCUGGGAUUUCACUUUGUACUUCCAUUGCUCUGAGGACUUGGAGGAGGGCUCUUGCAGUCUUGGGUCCUUUAGCUCUGGGAAUUUGUCUUGUAAUUUUUAUUUGAUGAUUUCCCUCCCUUUUCUCCCCUUUGUGUUUCUGGAACUCCUGGAUUAAUCUGAUUUUUCUGGGAGAAACCAGUGUUCAUCUCCUGGUUAAUUUGUCUGCGAUUUCCUUGACUUUAUCUUGCAUUGCUUCUAUUGAAAUUGAAAUUAAGAAAGUUCCCUUGUAGCACAGGGGGUUAAAGAUCUGGCAUUGCUGCAGCUGUGGUACAGGUGUGGCCAAAAAAAAAAAAGGGAAAAUUGAAGUUUAAUUUUUUUUUUUUUUUUUUUUUUUGGGCUUUUUAGGGCUUCACCUGUGGCAUAUGGAGGUUCCGAGGCUAGGAGUCACACUGGAGCUGCAGCUGCUGGCCUACACCACAGCCACAGCAAUGCCAGAUCCAAGCCACAUCUGCAACCUGUAUCACACAGCUCAUGGCAACGCCGGAGUCUUAACCUACUGAGUGAGGCCAGGGAUCGAAUCUGAAUCCUCAUGGAUCCUAGUCGCGUUUGUUACCUGCUGAGCCACAACAGGAACUCCCUAAAGUUAAAAAAAAUUUUCAGAAUGGUUUGGAUUUAUUGUAAAGUUAGAGGUUCUGUAUACCCUGCUUCCAGUUUCACCUGUUAGAAAGAUCUUACAUUAUUAUGGUCCAUUUGUCCCAACUAAUUAACCAGCAUUUAUACCCUGAAGUCUCUGUUUUAUUCAGAUUUUCUUAGUUAUUUAAUGUCCCUUUCUGUUCUACGGUACCAUGUUUUGUUGUCCUGUCUCCUUAUGUUCCUUUAUUAUUUUAUUUUAUUUUAUUUUGUCUUUUUGCCACUUCUUGGGCCGCUCCUACAGCAUAUGGAGGUUCCCAGGCUAGGGGUCUAAUCGGAGCUGUAGCCGCCAGCCUACACCAGAGCCACAGCAACGUGGGAUCCAAGCCAUGUCUGCAACCUACACCAUAGCUCACGGCAAUGCUGGAUCCUUAACCCCACUGAGCAAGGCCAGGGACCGAACCCGCAACCUCGUGGUUCCUAGUCGGAUUCCUUAACCACUGUGCCACGACGGGAACUCCCUUAAGUUCCUUUAGACUGUGACAGUUGCCAGAUUUUUCCUGUCUCUGAUGACCUUGACAGUCUUGGGGAGUACUGAUCAGGUAUUUUGUAGAAUGUCCCUCAGUUGGGAUUUGUCUGAUUUUUCUCCUGAUUAACCUGAGCUUUUGGGGUUUUGGCUGUCCUGUCUUGAGUUCUUCCUAGGGCUUUUUUCUGUUUUCUGGUGCCCUGUACACAAAAAAGCACAACAAUCUGUUUUUGUUUGCAGGUGUGCAACGUCUCAGUCUCCUGAGGACAUUCGUUUUAUGUUAUGUAUUUUAAAAAAAUUCUUUGAUUCCUGGCAUUGUCUGACUCCUCCAGCUUCUUUCAUUUGUCUGUCUGUAUUGCUUUCUGUCUUUCAGUUGAUGUCUCAGAUGUCCGUGGUCUUAGACGUGUACACAGCUGAUUGGAAACUGGGUGGGUGGGUCAGCAGGAGCUCUUGGGGGUGGGGCGGGUCGUUGAGAAGCUGACCUUUUAUAUCCCAAGUGGGCGUCUGUAGGUUUUCGAGAGAAUGCUCCUUUGCCAGAGGUUGCACAUGCCUCUGCUCCACUCCGUGGGGCCAGCAGCAGGGGGGACUUAGGCCCCACAGUUUGCUCCUCAGGUUUUCACUUAGCUUCUUUUUUUAGCUCCUUUCCUCCCCACCCUCCCCCCGCCCCUUUGACCCUGGUGACCCCUCUAGGGGAGCAGGAAGGCUGUGUGGGAGGCUGGCGGUGGCACUUUCUGCAAGGGCUCCUCACCCUCCCAGUCCCGCAGGGUGCCCACCCUUCCCCAUACUUCCUGAGCUGCUAAGUCUGUUACUACUCCGGUUGGGUCUUUGUCUGCCGCCAUUGUCCCUGUGUUUUGCAUUCUCUUUGUUGUCUAUUUCCUUUUAAAGGGUUUUGGGAAGGUGAGCUAUAAAUGCCAUGUUUAGCCAGAACGUCCCUGUUUUCUAAAGAGUUUUCAUGCAUCAGGUGGAAUGGAGGUAAGGGCACAUCUGGGUAGGCACACAUGUGUGUUUGAGUACCUGUGUGUGCCCAUUUGUCAGUUACACCUCUCGGCUCCUUUUCCCCCUGAUGGGUGGUGCUUGUCUUCGUAUCAGAACAUCGAGAGCUGCCAUUUGCUGUCGUGGCUACAGAGGGUUGCAAGGCCCUGGAGAAAGGGUGGGUUGGGCUGUUGGCCAUGUGUCACACCGUCUUGCACAAAGUGAGCUCUCUGUCCCUGCCCUCCUGAGAAGGGAGGAAAGGGGAGCUCUCCAUGACAGCCCGUCCGCACAGCAGCCUUCUAAAGUAGGCCUUCUGGGAGUUCCCGUCGAGGUGCAGCAGAACCGUGAGGUUUCGGGUCCAUUCCUGGCCUCGAUCAGUGGGUUAAGGAUCCGGCGUUGCCAUGAGCUGGGGUGUAGGCUGGCAGCUGCAGCUCCGAUUAGACCCCCAGUUUGAGAACUUCCAUAUGCCGCAGGUGCAGCCUUAAAAAGUAAAAAAAAUUAAAAAAAAAAAA
rnacentral:lncRNA from 1 species